rnacentral:rRNA from 1 species
AACGAACGCUGGCGGCAUGCCUAACACAUGCAAGUCGAACGAGAUCCUUCGGGGUCUAGUGGCGCACGGGUGCGUAACGCGUGGGAAUCUGCCUUUUGCUUCGGAAUAACAGUUAGAAAUGACUGCUAAUACCGGAUGAUGUCUUCGGACCAAAGAUUUAUCGGCAAGAGAUGAGCCCGCGUAGGAUUAGGUAGUUGGUGGGGUAAAGGCCUACCAAGCCGACGAUCCUUAGCUGGUCUGAGAGGAUGAUCAGCCACACUGGGACUGAGACACGGCCCAGACUCCUACGGGAGGCAGCAGUGGGGAAUAUUGGACAAUGGACGAAAGUCUGAUCCAGCAAUGCCGCGUGAGUGAUGAAGGCCUUAGGGUUGUAAAGCUCUUUUAC